AUAGCGUAUAUUAAAGUUGUUGUGGUUAAAAAGCUCGUAGUUGGAUCUCAGUUCGAGUCAGGCGGUCCACUUGCCAGUGGUUACUGCUUGACUGAACACUUUAUCGAGUUGUCCUAUAGUGCUCUUCACCGAGUGUUAUAGGCGAUCGGUACGUUUACUUUGAAAAAAUUAGAGUGCUCAAAGCAGGCGUAACGCCCGAAUAAUGUUGCAUGGAAUAAUGGAAUAGGACCUCGGUUCUAUUUUGUUGGUCUUCGGAAUCUGAGGUAAUGAUUAAGAGGGACAGACGGGGGCAUUCGUAUUGCGGCGCUAGAGGUGAAAUUCUUGGACCGUCGCAAGACGAA
rnacentral:rRNA from 1 species